rnacentral:rRNA from 1 species
GACCUCAAAUCAGGUAGGACUACCCGCUGAACUUAAGCAUAUCAAUAAGCGGAGGAAAUCACUAUUGAAUCCCGGCCCCUGCAGGUCGACUAUGGGAAACUCCCACCCGUUGGAGCUUACUUGGUUUUUUGG